rnacentral:rRNA from 1 species
UUAGAGUUUGAUCAUGGCUCAGGAUGAACGCUGGCGGCGUGCAUAACACAUUCAAGUCGAACGAGGCAGCAAUGCCUAGUGGCGGACGGGUGAGUAACGCGUGAGCAACCUGCCCUUGUGUGGGGGAUACCGUCUGGAAACGGACGUUAAUACCGCAUAAUAUUACGGAGUCGCAUGUCUCUGUAAUCAAAGAUUUAUUGCGCAAGGAUGGGCUCGCGUCUGAUUAGAUAGUUGGUAGGGUAAUGGCCUACCAAGUCUACGAUCGGUAGCCGGACUGAGAGGUUGAACGGCCACAUUGGAACUGAGAUACGGUCCAGACUCCUACGGGAGGCAGCAGUGGGGAAUAUUGGGCAAUGGGCGAAAGCCUGACCCAGCGACGCCGCGUGAAGGAAGAAGGUCUUCGGAUUGUAAACUUCUUUUAUUAGGGACGAAUUUUGACGGUACCUAAUGAAUAAGCCACGGCUAACUACGUGCCAGCAGCCGCGGUAAUACGUAGGUGGCAAGCGUUGUCCGGAUUUACUGGGUGUAAAGGGCGUGUAGGCGGAGAUGCAAGUUGGGAGUGAAAUCCCGGGGCUCAACCCCGGAACUGCUUUCAAAACUGCAUCCCUUGAGUGCGGGAGAGGCAAGCGGAAUUCCUAGUGUAGCGGUGAAAUGCGUAGAUAUUAGGAGGAACACCAGUGGCGAAGGCGGCUUGCUGGACGAUAACUGACGCUGAGGCGCGAAAGCGUGGGGAGCAAACAGGAUUAGAUACCCUGGUAGUCCACGCUGUAAACGAUGAAUACUAGGUGUGGGAGGACUGACCCCUUCCGUGCCGCAGUUAACACAAUAAGUAUUCCACCUGGGGAGUACGACCGCAAGGUUGAAACUCAAAGGAAUUGACGGGGGCCCGCACAAGCAGUGGAUUAUGUGGUUUAAUUCGACGCAACGCGAAGAACCUUACCAGGAUUUGACAUCCAACUAACGAAGUAGAGAUACAUUAGGUGCCCUUCGGGGAAAGUUGAGACAGGUGGUGCAUGGUUGUCGUCAGCUCGUGUCGUGAGAUGUUGGGUUAAGUCCCGCAACGAGCGCAACCCUUACGGUUAGUUGCUACGAAAGAGCACUCUAGCCGGACUGCCGUUGACAAAACGGAGGAAGGUGGGGACGACGUCAAAUCAUCAUGCCCUUUAUGUCCUGGGCUACACACGUACUACAAUGGCAGUCAUACAGAGGGAUGCAAACCGGCGACGGGGAGCGAAACCCUAAAAGCUGUCUCAGUUCAGAUUGCAGGCUGAAACUCGCCUGCAUGAAGGUGGAAUUGCUAGUAAUCGCGGAUCAGCAUGCCGCGGUGAAUACGUUCCCGGGUCUUGUACACACCGCCCGUCACACCAUGAGAGUCGCGAACACCCAAAGUCCAUAGUCCAACCGUAAGGAGGGCGUGGCCUAAGGUGGGCGUGAUAAUUGGGGUGAAGUCGUAACAAGGUAACC